UCUACCAAGGGCGUCCACAUUUCAACUCUUAACUCCUUUAUGAGAUUGCAUGGAGAAAGCUGAACACAUACUAAUUACCCAACAAUAACGUGUAGCACAGAUUUUCUGACCUCCAAACCAGCAAACAAUGAAGCACCUAGAAUUCAUGGUCCCUUACAGAAUUGAAGCAACAAUAAAGCAUCUGAUCAAAGAAUCCGAUAGAUAAGACAUUUCAAUGAUCAUCUGCCAUGAAUUUCAAUUAAUUCCCGGAUCAUACAAUUACCAGAAAAGAAUUAUAUGUUUUAAUCUCUGACAAGGCAAGAGAAACAACAAGGUUAUUCAAAACAGAAAAGAAAAAAGAAAAAAAGAUUUUUUUCCUAUUUUUCUUUCUGGGUCUACUUAGAAGGGAAGAUGGAGAAGAAGGAGAAGGUGGGCGUGAAUUUCUAGAUGAAGG
rnacentral:misc_RNA from 1 species